UACGAAGGGGGCUAGCGUUGUUCGGAUUUACUGGGCGUAAAGCGCACGUAGGCGGAUACUUAAGUCAGGGGUGAAAUCCUGGAGCUCAACUCCAGAACUGCCUUUGAUACUGGGUAUCUCGAGUCCGGAAGAGGUGAGUGGAACUCCUAGUGUAGAGGUGGAAUUCGUAGAUAUUAGGAAGAACACCAGUGGCGAAGGCGGCUUACUGGUCCAUUACUGACGCUGAGGUGCGAAAGCGUGGGGAGCAAACAGG
rnacentral:rRNA from 1 species